UUGAACGCUGGCGGCAGGCCUAACACAUGCAAGUCGCACGGUAACAGGGAUCAGCUUGCUGAUUCGCUGACGAGUGGCGGACGGGUGAGUAAUGUCUGGGAAACUGCCUGAUGGAGGGGGAUAACUACUGGAAACGGUAGCUAAUACCGCAUAACGUCGCAAGACCAAAGAGGGGGACCUUCGGGCCUCUUGCCAUCGGAUGUGCCCAGAUGGGAUUAGCUAGUAGGUGGGGUAACGGCUCACCUAGGCGACGAUCCCUAGCUGGUCUGAGAGGAUGACCAGCCACACUGGAACUGAGACACGGUCCAGACUCCUACGGGAGGCAGCAGUGGGGAAUAUUGCACAAUGGGCGCAAGCCUGAUGCAGCCAUGCCGCGUGUAUGAAGAAGGCCUUCGGGUUGUAAAGUACUUUCAGCGGGGAGGAAGGGAGUAAAGUUAAUACCUUUGCUCAUUGACGUUACCCGCAGAAGAAGCACCGGCUAACUCCGUG
rnacentral:rRNA from 1 species